AGCUGGUGUGGGUGCAGUGGUGUUUACAACUAAUGGAUCACAAACAGUCACAGAUUUCUUUGUUCCAUCUCCACUCCCACUUCUACACUUGACUAGCCUUAA
ensembl:misc_RNA Y_RNA Y RNA